rnacentral:rRNA from 1 species
CAUAUACUGAAUACAUAGGUAUAUGAGGGGAACCGCCUGAACUGAAACAUCUAAGUAGGGCGAGGAAGAGAAAUCAAAAUGAGAUUCCGCUAGUAGUGGCGAGCGAACGCGGAAGAGGCCAAACCGAGAGUAGCAAUACACUCGGGGUUCGGACAGUAGAAUGUAUGGCAGAGCAUAGCAGAAUGGCAUGGGAAGGCCAAUCAGAGAGUGUGAGAAUCACGUAUGCGAAAUGCAAAGCUGGCAAACUGUAUCCAGAGUACUGCGGGACACGUGAAAUCCCGUGGGAAUACGGGGGGACCACCCUCCAAGCCUAAAUACUACCUAGUGACCGAUAGAGAAGAGUACUGUGAAGGAAAGGUGAAAAGAACCCCGGGAGGGGAGUGAAAUAGAACCUGAAACCUUGUGCUUACAAGCACCGAGAGCCCGUCAAAGGGUGAUCGGGUACCUAUUGUAGAAUGGUCCGGCGAGUUAAUGUAACUGGCAAGGUUAAGGACUAAAGGUCCGGAGCCGCAGCGAGAGCGAGUCUGAAUAGGGCGUAUGAAGUCAGUUAUAUUAGACCCGAAACCGGGUGACCUACCCAUGUCCAGGUUGAAGUGGAGGUAAAACUCCAUGGAGGACCGAACCGACUCCCGUUGAAAUGGUAGCGGAUGAGGUGUGGGUAGCGGAGAAAUUCCAAUCGAACCCGGAGAUAGCUGGUUCUCUCCGAAAUAGCUUUAGGGCUAGCCUUGUAUUAGAUUACUGGAGGUAAAGCACUGAAUAGGCUAGGGGCCGAGAGGUUACCGAACCUUAUCAAACUCAGAAUGCCGGAUAAUUGAUGCAUAGCAGUCAGACAGUGUGAGAUAAGUUUCAUUGUCGAAAGGGAAAGAGCCCAGACCCACAGCUAAGGUCCCAAAAUAUAGUUAAGUGGAAAAGGAUGUGGGGGUGCACAGACAACCAGGAUGUUGGCUCAGAAGCAGCCAUUCAUUAAAAGAGUGCGUAAUAGCUCACUGGUCGAGUGCCCCUGCGCCGAAGAUUUAACGGGGCUAAACUAUAUACCGAAGCUUGGGAUGCAGUAAUGCAUGGUAGGAGAGCGUUGUAUGCGGGGUGAAGUCAGAGCGAAAGCGCUGGUGGACUGCAUACAAGUGAGAAUGCCGGAAUGAGUAGCGAGAAAUAUGUGAGAAUCAUAUUGGCCGAAAGUCUAAGGUUUUAGGAGGAAGGUUCGUCCGCUCCUAGUAAGCCGGGAGCUAAGGUGAGGCCGAAAGGCGUAGCCGAUGCACAUACGGUAGAAAUUCCGUAGCCACCGAAAGAUUUAAGCAAGAGGACACCCAGAAAGAGCAUAACCCGGGCGUUGGUUGACCCGGGCGUAAGGGACUGAAAUUAGAGUAGGGAAGUAUGCGUGGACUGGGGCGAGAAAAGUCUUGUGAAUAUCUAAGGUGCCCGUACCGCAAACCGACACAGGUAGAUAGGAAGAGAAUUCUAAGGCCAACGGGAGAAGGGUAGUUAAGGAACUCGGCAAAUUGACCCCGUAACUUAGGGAAAAGGGGUGCCACAGCAAUGUGGCCGCAGAGAAUAGGCCCAGGCGACUGUUUAGCAAAAACACAGGUUUCUGCCAAAUCGAAAGAUGAAGUAUAGGAGCUGACACCUGCCCGGUGCUGGAAGGUUAAGAGGAGAGGUGCAAGCCUUGAAUUGAAGCCCCAGUAAACGGCGGCCGUAACUAUAACGGUCCUAAGGUAGCGAAAUUCCUUGUCGGGUAAGUUC